GAUGAACGCUGGCGGCGUGCCUAAUACAUGCAAGUCGAGCGAACAGACGAGGAGCUUGCUCCUCUGACGUUAGCGGCGGACGGGUGAGUAACACGUGGAUAACCUACCUAUAAGACUGGGAUAACUUCGGGAAACCGGAGCUAAUACCGGAUAAUAUAUUUAACCGCAUGGUUCAAUAGUGAAAGACGGUUUUGCUGUCACUUAUAGAUGGAUCCGCGCCGCAUUAGCUAGUUGGUAAGGUAACGGCUUACCAAGGCGACGAUGCGUAGCCGACCUGAGAGGGUGAUCGGCCACACUGGAACUGAGACACGGUCCAGACUCCUACGGGAGGCAGCGGUAGGGAAUCUUCCGCAAUGGGCGAAAGCCUGACGGAACAACGCCGCGUGAGUGAUGAAGGUCUUCGGAUCGUAAAACUCUGUUAUUAGGGAAGAACAAAUGUGUAAGUAACUAUGCACGUCUUGACGGUACCUAAUCAGAAAGCCACGGCUAACUACGUG
rnacentral:rRNA from 1 species